GCCUUCGGGGUAUAGUGUUCAGCAUGCUCGACGUGUAACCGAGAGGUUCGUGGUUCGAAUCCCCGCUAAGGCG
rnacentral:tRNA from 1 species